CGGCUUAGAGUUUGAUCCUGGCUCAGAACGAACGCUGGCGGCAUGCCUAAUACAUGCAAGUCGAACGCCUGGAGCAAUCCAGGAGUGGCGGACGGGUGAGUAACACGUGGGAACCUGCCCAGCGGUGGGGAACAACCGAGGGAAACUUCGGCUAAUACCGCAUACGCCCUUACGGGGAAAGAUUUAUCGCCGUUGGAGGGGCCCGCGUCCGAUUAGCUAGUUGGUGAGGUAACGGCUCACCAAGGCGACGAUCGGUAACUGGUCUGAGAGGACGACCAGUCACACUGGGACUGAGACACGGCCCAGACUCCUACGGGAGGCAGCAGUAGGGAAUAUUGGACAAUGGGGGAAACCCUGAUCCAGCAAUGCCGCGUGAGUGAUGAAGGCCUUAGGGUUGUAAAGCUCUUUCAGCCCGCGACGAUG
rnacentral:rRNA from 1 species